rnacentral:rRNA from 1 species
AUUGAACGCUGGCGGCAUGCUUUACACAUGCAAGUCGAACGGUGACAGGCCGCAAGGUGCUGACGAGUGGCGAACGGGUGAGUAAUGCAUCGGAACGUGCCCAGUCGUGGGGGAUGACUACUCGAAAGAGUAGCUAAUACCGCAUACGAUCUAUGGAUGAAAGCGGGGGACCGUAAGGCCUCGCGCGAUUGGAGCGGCCGAUGUCAGAUUAGGUAGUUGGUGGGGUAAAGGCUCACCAAGCCAACGAUCUGUAGCUGGUCUGAGAGGACGACCAGCCACACUGGGACUGAGACGCGGCCCAGACUCCUACGGGAGGCAGCAGUGGGGAAUUUUGGACAAUGGGCGCAAGCCUGAUCCAGCAAUGCCGCGUGCAGGAAGAAGGCCUUCGGGUUGUAAACUGCUUUUGUACGGAACGAAACGGCUCUGGUUAAUACCCGGGGCUAAUGACGGUACCGUAAGAAUAAGCACCGGCUAACUACGUG